AAGUCGUAACAAGGUUUCCGUAGGUGAACCUGCGGAAGGAUCAUUACCUAGAGUUGUAGGCUUUGCCUGCUAUCUCUUACCCAUGUCUUUUGAGUACCUUCGUUUCCUCGGCGGGUCCGCCCGCCGAUUGGACAACAUUUAAACCCUUUGUAGUUGCAAUCAGCGUCUGAAAAAACUUAAUAGUUACAACUUUCAACAACGGAUCUCUUGGUUCUG
rnacentral:misc_RNA from 1 species